rnacentral:rRNA from 1 species
GAGGCGUGAUGACGAGGCACUACGGUGCUGAAGCAACAAAUGCCCUGCUUCCAGGAAAAGCCUCUAAGCAUCAGGUAACAUCAAAUCGUACCCCAAACCGACACAGGUGGUCAGGUAGAGAAUACCAAGGCGCUUGAGAGAACUCGGGUGAAGGAACUAGGCAAAAUGGUGCCGUAACUUCGGGAGAAGGCACGCUGAUAUGUAGGUGAAGUCCCUCGCGGAUGGAGCUGAAAUCAGUCGAAGAUACCAGCUGGCUGCAACUGUUUAUUAAAAACACAGCACUGUGCAAACACGAAAGUGGACGUAUACGGUGUGACGCCUGCCCGGUGCCGGAAGGUUAAUUGAUGGGGUCAGCGCAAGCGAAGCUCUUGAUCGAAGCCCCGGUAAACGGCGGCCGUAACUAUAACGGUCCUAAGGUAGCGAAAUUCCUUGUCGGGUAAGUUCCGACCUGCACGAAUGGCGUAAUGAUGGCCAGGCUGUCUCCACCCGAGACUCAGUGAAAUUGAACUCGCUGUGAAGAUGCAGUGUACCCGCGGCAAGACGGAAAGACCCCGUGAACCUUUACUAUAGCUUGACACUGAACAUUGAGCCUUGAUGUGUAGGAUAGGUGGGAGGCUUUGAAGUGUGGACGCCAGUCUGCAUGGAGCCGACCUUGAAAUACCACCCUUUAAUGUUUGAUGUUCUAACGUGGACCCGUAAUCCGGGUUGCGGACAGUGUCUGGUGGGUAGUUUGACUGGGGCGGUCUCCUCCUAAAGAGUAACGGAGGAGCACGAAGGUUGGCUAAUCCUGGUCGGACAUCAGGAGGUUAGUGCAAUGGCAUAAGCCAGCUUGACUGCGAGCGUGACGGCGCGAGCAGGUGCGAAAGCAGGUCAUAGUGAUCCGGUGGUUCUGAAUGGAAGGGCCAUCGCUCAACGGAUAAAAGGUACUCCGGGGAUAACAGGCUGAUACCGCCCAAGAGUUCAUAUCGACGGCGGUGUUUGGCACCUCGAUGUCGGCUCAUCACAUCCUGGGGCUGAAGUAGGUCCCAAGGGUAUGGCUGUUCGCCAUUUAAAGUGGUACGCGAGCUGGGUUUAGAACGUCGUGAGACAGUUCGGUCCCUAUCUGCCGUGGGCGCUGGAGAACUGAGGGGGGCUGCUCCUAGUACGAGAGGACCGGAGUGGACGCAUCACUGGUGUUCGGGUUGUCAUGCCAAUGGCACUGCCCGGUAGCUAAAUGCGGAAGAGAUAAGUGCUGAAAGCAUCUAAGCACGAAACUUGCCCCGAGAUGAGUUCUCCCUGACUCCUUGAGAGUCCUGAAGGAACGUUGAAGACGACGACGUUGAUAGGCCGGGUGUGUAAGCGCAGCGAUGCGUUGAGCUAACCGGUACUAAUGAACCGUGAGG